rnacentral:lncRNA from 1 species
GAGGGAUGAGGCUUGUGCAGCCAUAACAGCUUGUCUAGGAAUACUUGUUUUUCUUUUGACCGUGGUGAGGUCUUUCAAAAUUUUUGUAUAGGAGGGAAUUUGUCUUAUGGCAUCGAGAAAAGGUAUAUUUAUUUGAACAGUUUUAAAGACUUCCAUGAUUUCAUCAAAGUUAGAUUGUUUCUUGGAGUCCUGAAGUCUACUGGGAAAGGGAACCUUG